GUUUGAUUAGAGGUUAGAGGUUAGAUGAUCUUGUUGGAUUUAAGCUUGCUUCUUUCUCCUCUUGUGCUAGCUGGUUUGGAGCUAUUAGAGAAGUGUGGGAAGAGGUAUUUGGCAGUGUUUUCUCAACCAUUAACUCAGCAAGACCUGAGUUGAAGCUUUGGAAAGCUGAACAGGGGAAACUUGUAGCAGCUGUAGAGGAGGUGAUUUGGCUGUGAUAUUUCAAUCCUAGCUCAGUCAAAACUGAGUUAGAGCUGGACAAGCAGAAUUUGCAGCAGGUUAUUGAAUUCCUUUGGCAGAAUUUCGUGACCUUUAGAAUGGUAAUUUUGAUGUGCUCCAACCUGAAUUGAAGUGGAAUUCAAGUUGGAUUCUAUCCUAGAGCCUUUCACAGCGUGAAAGGUUAGGGUUCCUGGCAAGGGGUCAGCGGAUAGCUAGAGCCUCCUCGAUGUUAAAUAGAUGGAAUCAUACAAGUUUUUCUAGUUUAGUUCAGUAUUGUAUAUUGAGACUAUGUAGCGUGUACUUUUCUUUUAAGUUAUAAUAAGGUUAUGUGUUGUAUAAGUUUA